GACGAACCGUGCGAACGUUGUUCGGAAUCACUGGGCUUAAAGGGCGCGUAGGCGGGCGGUCAAGUCGGUGGUGAAAUCCUUCAGCUUAACUGGAGAAUGGCCGCCGAUACUGACUGCCUCGAGGGAGGUAGGGGCAUGUGGAACUUCCGGUGGAGCGGUGAAAUGCGUAGAUAUCGUCAAGAACACCUAUUGCGAAGGCAGCUUACUAAGCUUUAACUGACACUGAGGCACGAAAGUGUGGGGAUCAAACAGG
rnacentral:rRNA from 1 species